rnacentral:misc_RNA from 1 species
AAAGUCGUAACAAGGUUUCCGUAGGUGAACCUGCGGAAGGAUCAUUAACACGUAUCCAACGUUAAACCCCCCGUGAACCUUCAUUGUACGCGUCUGCUCAGUUGGAAAGUGGCAAUCCCUGGUAAAUCAUCGCCGAACAGUUUUGAUUCAGGGACUUCUACGGUUUGCGGAAAACGCGGCGAGGCAAGUGGUCUGGCAUUCCUCUGCUUGUUAGUGUCUGAAAGUGUCACUAGCUCUGUAAGGAUGGCGCAGUAACGAUCGCUGGAGGCCGACACGGCCGGCGACUGGAUCACUGGGCAUUACGCUCCUUUAUCACCUUUGCAUGAAAACGGGCCUGCGCUUAAUUGUGCGGCCACCAAACUCGAACAACUGUUAACAAUGGAUAUCUUGGUUCUC